rnacentral:rRNA from 1 species
UUAAAAAGCUCGUAGUUGGAUCUCGGCGGACUGAGGGCGGUUUGCUUGCUAGUAUUACUGCCCUAUAGUCCGUAGUUUUGCCAGAGGUUUCGGGGUGCUCUUAAUCGAGUGUCCCGGGAUGCUGGCAGGUUUACUUUGAAAAAAUUAGAGUGCUCAAAGCAGGCUAUUACGCCUGAAUAUUCGUGCAUGGAAUAAUAGAAUAGGAAGUCGUUUCUAUUUUGUUGGUUUUCGGAAAUCGACUUAAUGAUUAAUAGGGACAGUCGGGGGCAUUAGUAUUCAAGCGACAGAGGUGAAAUUCUUGGACCGCUUGAAGACUAACUACUGCGAAAGCAUUUGCCAAGAGUGUUUUCAUUAAUCAAGAAUGAAAGUUAGAGGUUCGAAGGCGAUUAGAUACCGCCCUAGUUCUAACCAUAAACGAUGCCAGCUAGCGAUCUGCCGACGUUUUUUUUGUAGACUCGGCAGGAAGCUUCCGGGAAACCAAAGCAUUUGGGUUCCAGGGGAAGUAUGGUUGCAAAGCUGAAACUUAAAGGAAUUGACGGAAGGGCACCACCAGGAGUGGAGCCUGUGGCUUAAUUUGACUCAACACGGGAAAUCUCACCAGGCCCGGACACUGGAAGGAUUGACAGAUUGAUAGCUCUUUCUUGAUUCGGUGGGUGGUGGUGCAUGG